rnacentral:rRNA from 1 species
CGCGAAUGGCUCAUUACAACAGCUAAAAUUUACUCGAUCUUGACACAAUCCUACUUGGAUAACUGUGGUAAUUCUAGAGCUAAUACAUGCAUUAAAGCUCUGACCUUCGGGGAAGAGUGCAUUUAUUAGAACAAAACCAAGCGGCUUCGGCUGUUUUCGGUUGACUCAUAGUAACUGAGCUGAUCGCAUGGUCUUGCACCGGCGACGCGUCGUUCAAGUAUCUGCCGUAUCAACUUUCGAUGGUAGUGUAUCUGACUACCAUGGUGAUCACGCGUAACGGAGAAUAAGGGUUCGACUCCGGAGAGUUCGCCUGAGAAAUCGCGAACACAUCUAAGGAAGGCAGCAGGCGCGAAAAUUACCCACUCUCAGCACGAGGAGGUAGUGACGAAAAAUAACGAGACCGUUCUCUUAUGAGGCCGGUCAUCGGAAUGGGUACAAUUUAAACCCUUUAACGAGUAUCUAUGAGAGGGCAAGUCUGGUGCCAGCAGCCGCGGUAAUUCCAGCU